rnacentral:rRNA from 1 species
CCCUUAGAUGUUCUGGGCCGCACGCGCGCUACACUGAUGCAUUCAACGAGCCUAUCCUUGACCGACAGGUCCGGGUAAUCUUUGAAUCUGCAUCGUGACGGGGAUAGAUUAUUGCAAUUAUUAAUCUUCAACGAGGAAUGCCUAGUAGGCGCAAGUCAUCAGCUUGUGUUGAUUACGUCCCUGCCCUUUGUACACACCGCCCGUCGCUACUACCGAUUGAAUGGUUUAGUGAGACCCUCGGAUUCGUCCCAGCACAGUGGGUUUCUGCUGAGCUGGUGCGCGGAGAAGACGGUCGAACUUGAUCAUUUAGAGGAAGUAAAAGUCGUAACA